GGCUCUUUGGAAUAAAUAUAUAAAGAGUCGAACCUGCCCAGUGAUUUUUUAAACGGCCGCGGUACUCUGACCGUGCAAAGGUAGCAUAAUCAUUUGCCCUAUAAUUGAGGGCUUGUAUGAACGGUUUGACAAGAGCAUAACUGUCUCUUGAAAAUUUUAUAGAAUUUGGUUUUUAGGUGAAGAAACCUAAAUAUAAUUGAAAGACAAGAAGACCCUAUCGAGCUUUAGAGCAAUUAAUUAAAAAAUAUAAUUAAAACAAUUAAUUUUAAUUAAAAACUUUGGUUGGGGCGACUGAGGAACAUAUAAAGCUUCUUUAAUUAGAAUACGCUUAUAGGCUAUGAUCCAAAAAGUUUGAUUAAAAAAAUUAGUUACCGUAGGGAUAACAGCAUAAUCUUUUUCAAGAGUUCUUAUCGAAAAAAAGGUUUGUGACCUCGAUGUUGGACUAGGAUAUCUCAAAGAUGCAGAAGUCUUUAAUAGUUGGUCUGUUCGACCAUUAAAAUCCU
rnacentral:rRNA from 1 species